rnacentral:snoRNA from 2 species
GGUUGUGGAUGAUGAGUACAAAUAUCAAAAACAGUUAUCCCUGUCUGAGGAUUUAUUCCUUUUGAUGAUUGAUUUCUAAUCUGACACUUAU